AUUGAACGCUGGCGGCAUGCCUUACACAUGCAAGUCGAACGGCAGCACGGGUGCUUGCACCUGGUGGCGAGUGGCGAACGGGUGAGUAAUACAUCGGAACAUGUCCUGUAGUGGGGGAUAGCCCGGCGAAAGCCGGAUUAGUACCGCAUACGAUCCACGGAUGAAAGCGGGGGACCUUCGGGCCUCGCGCUAUAGGGUUGGCCGAUGGCUGAUUAGCUAGUUGGUGGGGUAAAGGCCUACCAAGGCGACGAUCAGUAGCUGGUCUGAGAGGACGACCAGCCACACUGGGACUGAGACACGGCCCAGACUCCUACGGGAGGCAGCAGUGGGGAAUUUUGGACAAUGGGCGAAAGCCUGAUCCAGCAAUGCCGCGUGUGUGAAGAAGGCCUUCGGGUUGUAAAGCACUUUUGUCCGGAAAGAAAUCCUUGACUCUAAUACAGUCGGGGGAUGACGGUACCGGAAGAAUAAGCACCGGCUAACUACGUG
rnacentral:rRNA from 1 species